rnacentral:rRNA from 1 species
ACGGGUGAGUAACACGUGGGAAACUACCCUUUGGUGCGGAAUAACACAGAGAAAUUUGUGCUAAUACCGCAUGAGCUCUUCGGAGGAAAGAUUUAUCGCCAAAGGAUGUGCCCGCGUCCGAUUAGCUAGUUGGUGAGGUAAUGGCUCACCAAGGCGACGAUCGGUAGCUGGUCUGAGAGGAUGAUCAGCCACACUGGGACUGAGACACGGCCCAGACUCCUACGGGAGGCAGCAGUGGGGAAUAUUGGACAAUGGGCGCAAGCCUGAUCCAGUCAUGCCGCGUGAGUGAUGAAGGCCUUAGGGUUGUAAAGCUCUUUCGCCCGCGAGGAUAAUGACGGUAGCGGGAUAAGAAGCCCCGGCUAACUUCGUGCCAGCAGCCGCGGUAAUACGAAGGGGGCUAGCGUUGUUCGGAAUCACUGGGCGUAAAGCGCACGUAGGCGGACUUUUAAGUCAGAGGUGAAAGCCUGGAGCUCAACUUCAGAACUGCCUUUGAUACUGGAAGUCUUGAGUCCGGUAGAGGUGAGUGGAACUGCUAGUGUAGAGGUGAAAUUCGUAGA